UGGGAGCACAGGUUUACCUGUGUGACUGCGUACCUUUUGUAUAAUGGGUCAGCGACUUAUAUUCUGUAGCAAGGUUAACCGUAUAGGGGAGCCGUAGGGAAACCGAGUCUUAACCGGGCGUUAAGUUGCAGGGUAUAGACCCGAAACCCGGUGAUCUAGCCAUGGGCAGGUUGAAGGUUGGGUAACACUAACUGGAGGACCGAACCGACUAAUGUUGAAAAAUUAGCGGAUGACCUGUGGCUGGGGGUGAAAGGCCAAUCAAACCGGGAGAUAGCUGGUUCUCCCCGAAAGCUAUUUAGGUAGCGCCUCGUGAAUUCAUCUCCGGGGGUAGAGCACUGUUUCGGCUAGGGGGCCAUCCCGGCUUACCAACCCGAUGCAAACUGCGAAUACCGGAGAAUGUUAUCACGGGAGACACACGGCGGGUGCUAACGUCCGUCGUGAAGAGGGAAACAACCCAGACCGCCAGCUAAGGUCCCAAAGUCAUGGUUAAGUGGGAAACGAUGUGGGAAGGCCCAGACAGCCAGGAUGUUGGCUUAGAAGCAGCCAUCAUUUAAAGAAAGCGUAAUAGCUCACUGGUCGAGUCGGCCUGCGCGGAAGAUGUAACGGGGCUAAACCAUGCACCGAAGCUGCGGCAGCGAACGUAUCACCCAAGACAACUUUACGGAGUUGACGAUUGACGGAGCGAAGCGACGUCAAAGCGUUCAUUAAAGUCGAGUUGGCUUAGGGAUACGUUCGUUGGGUAGGGGAGCGUUCUGUAAGCCUGUGAAGGUGUGUCGUGAGGCAUGCUGGAGGUAUCAGAAGUGCGAAUGCUGACAUAAGUAACGAUAAAGCGGGUGAAAAGCCCGCUCGCCGGAAGACCAAGGGUUCCUGUCCAACGUUAAUCGGGGCAGGGUGAGUCGACCCCUAAGGCGAGGCCGAAAGGCGUAGU
rnacentral:rRNA from 1 species